rnacentral:misc_RNA from 1 species
GUAUCCUAUCUGCCCAUCGCAUCUGUGACAAUUUAGGGGAAGAUAGAAAUACUCAAAUCAAUGAAGUAGAAAGAAAUCAAUAUCAAUCAUUGCUACAAAACCCAAUCCAAUACAUUUAUUUAUUUAUUUUUUGGGGGUGGGACGUUUGGAUUCAUUUGCUUCAAUACGUACAUACUUGUUCAUUAAUUUCCAUGAGAAAUUCCACUAUUCAUUAAAUAAUGUUAAAUGGUGGCAAUUUUGCAAAAGUUUUUCAUUUGGAGGGCAGUUUAUUCCAAUGGGUGUGUGGGCUGGGUUUUGGAAAUUAUGAUUAUUUCUUAAAGGAUUAUCAGAAUUUCCACUGCUUAUGACAGAUACUUUAUUGUUUCUAAUACCAAAUUCUCAAUAGCAGCAGCAAUAUCUGACAAAUUAUUGAUAUUCAUAUUCAUCUCAUCAAGAUGAAUUGGAGUUCAUAACUGUUAAAAAUUAGGGGAAAACAAUUUCGGGCAAG